rnacentral:rRNA from 1 species
UCGGGCCUGCUCGGUGAAUAAGUUUUUAACAGCUGCGGUAUUUUAACUGUACUAAGGUAGCAUAAUAAUUUGCCUUAUAAUUUGAGGCUAGAAUGAAUGGUUUGACGAAGGUUAAUCUGUCUCCAUCUUAUUUUUUAGAAGUUAAUUUUUAAAGUGAAAAAGCUUAAAUCUUUCAAAGGGACGAGAAGACCCUAAUGAGCUUAUAAUUUUAUUAUCAUUAUUUAAAACAUUUAGGUGGUGGUAUAUAAAUUUUAAUUGGGGUGAUUAAGGAAUAAAUUGUGUAUAGUAACUUCCUUAAAUUAGGUAUUUGUAGAUAAAGUAACCAAUGUAAUAUUGCUUAUAGUAUAGUUACCAUAGGGAUAACAGCGUAAUUUGUUUAGAGAGUUCUUAUUGAAAAACGAGAUUGCGACCUCGAUGUUGGAUUAAAGUAACCCUAAGGUGCAGAAGCUUUAGUA